rnacentral:lncRNA from 1 species
UCGUUGCACUAGAUGAGACAAGGGAUCAUAAAGGGAGAUCAAUGACGGCUAUUUUUAUUGGUCCUUUGGACGGAAAUUUCUGUUGGAGACCUUACCUUUUUGACUUGAUUGAUAUUCAGAUUGCAAACGCAAACAAUAUAAAGAGCAUCGUCAUAAGCUCAGUUUAUAAGUUGAAUGUUUUGUUAUCAUUUAAUUAUUAACUCAUUUCGUGCCAAAUUUAUCUAUUCCUCCUUUAUGGUCAGUGGUCACUAAGAAGUUAUGAGUACACUUCCUGUAAUGAUGGGUUUGAUGUUCUCUAACUAACAAUAUAUUUUGUCUUGCAUAAAUUUACAGAAAUUAUUAUACAAUUACAAAGUUAUUUAUAGGGAAGUUAUAUAUGAAUAAUAUACAACAAUCCCUCUUCCUUCAUGUGUUGGAAUCGAUAUUUACUUUGAACUCUUGCUCCAGCGACAGAUACAAUCGCACCACUGCCAUUUGUAGCUAUUAUAUUUUUGAAGUAAUUUCCAUGGGCAUUCAAUGCAUAGAUGGGUAAUUUAUUCAGCUCAAAUUUUUGAACAGAGUUGAUGAUCAAAAUAGAGUUUUCUUUUAGACACCUGCAUACUCUUGCAUAGUGGCAUCUCUUACACAAUCUUGUGCAUUCAAUGCUUUUUGCAAGCAAACUUUCCCAUUCUUAUGAGGAAAUUGUAAACCACACUGUCUACACAAUCUUUCUUGGCUCUUGUUCCACGAUCUCCUACUGCUUUGACUUCUUCGAUAUAUAUUGAAUCCACAUGACUUUGUAUUUGCGAUAACACUCUGUGAUACUAAAUCAUUUAAACUAUUUUGAUUAUUCUUUGCAAUUUCUACUAUUUUCCA